rnacentral:rRNA from 1 species
GGAUUAGCUAGUAGGUGGGGUAACGGCUCACCUAGGCGACGAUCCCUAGCUGGUCUGAGAGGAUGACCAGCCACACUGGAACUGAGACACGGUCCAGACUCCUACGGGAGGCAGCAUG